UCCGGUUUGUCACCGGCAGUCUCCCUAGAGUGCCCUUGCGUAGCAACUAGGGACAAGGGUUGCGCUCGUUGCGGGACUUAACCCAACAUCUCACGACACGAGCUGACGACAGCCAUGCAGCACCUGUGUUCAGGUUCCCUUUCGGGCACCUCUGCAUUUCUGCAGAGUUCCUGACAUGUCAAGGGUAGGUAAGGUUUUUCGCGUUGCAUCGAAUUAAGCCACAUACUCCACCGCUUGUGCAGGCCCCCGUCAAUUCCUUUGAGUUUUAAUCUUGCGACCGUACUCCCCAGGCGGGAAGCUUAAUGCGUUAGCUGCGCCACUGAACAGCAAGCUGUCCAACGGCUAGCUUCCAUCGUUUACGGCGUGGACUAC
rnacentral:misc_RNA from 1 species